GGAGGCUUGGUUAAAGCGCUCAGCUGCUAACUGAAAGGUCGGUGGUUGGAACCCAUCAGCCACUC
rnacentral:tRNA from 1 species